rnacentral:ncRNA from 1 species
AACGAUAGAGGUGCGCCUGCGAUCAGUAAACCGCAAAAAACAGCCGCCGGGGCUGCGGAAGAAAGGCAAGGGCGCCGAAACGGAAACUUUGGCAGGUUUCUUGUUGGCAGCUCGGAGAAGAUCCGUUCUGUUGUCGCAUGAAAUGCGGAGCGCUAUUCG